rnacentral:lncRNA from 1 species
UCUCCAGAGGAGGAGGAGGGGAGUGUGAAGUUCUGAACUCCUUUGGACACGCGAUAAUGAGUUUGUCAAAACCAAUUCCAGCAGAGCUAUGAAAAACGUAUGUCAGCAGGACCGGUGACUGCCAAAUCCCAAACUCUUACUCAUGGCUGCUGCUUGCAUCCAGAACGAACGAUGAAAAUGGCCUUUCUGGCCUUGUUUCGGUUUGCUGCUUAUUGGAACUCAAGCUGGUUAUUCAGUGAACCGGCCCCAGCACCGUGACAGCCAAACAACACGUGCACGCUCACUCAGUAUCGCUCUGGCAGAGGGAAAUUCAGGACGUUUUGAACCAAACGAGGAGGUUUUAUGAAACUUCCAUGUAGCUGAAAGCAAAAGUUGGAAGAUUAUGCAACUCGGUUGGGUUGGCUGCCAUUGCUAUUGAAAAAGUCGCCCCUUCCAGAGGAAAGCAGACAAACAUCGCAGAGCUGUGGUUUAACUGUCCUUCCCACGGCUUCGGGAGGGAUGAAAGCAGAGCCCUGGCCAUUGCACAGUGCUUGGAUGGCUCCUGUCAGAGCCUCCCAAGGGCAUCCCAUCAUGGCACGUCUCUCUCGGUGUCUCUGUCUUCACAUCCCCUUGCACCACUGACCAGAACAAAGAGCAGCACCUCUGCUUUCAGUACAAGUUUCCCUUGGGGUCAGGGUGAUCUGUGAAGUUGAGCGUUGGUGGGUACGUGUUGGUGUGUGAGGGCACACCAAAGCCCAGUGGGCAAAUUGAGAAGAAUGGGC